UACGUAGGUGACAAGCGUUGUCCGGAUUUACUGGGCGUAAAGAGCGCGUAGGCGGUCGAUCAAGUCGAGUGUGAAAGCCCCCGGCUCAACUGGGGAGGGUCAUUCGAUACUGAUCGACUCGAAGGCAGGAGAGGGUAGUGGAAUUCCCGGUGUAGUGGUGAAAUGCGUAGAUAUCGGGAGGAACACCAGUGGCGAAGGCGACUAUCUGGCCUGUUCUUGACGCUGAGGCGCGAAAGCUAGGGGAGCAAACGGG
rnacentral:rRNA from 1 species